AAACCAACAGGGAUUGCCUUAGUAGCGGCGAGUGAAGCGGCAAUAGCUCAAAUUUGAAAUCUGGCGUCUUCGGCGUCCGAGUUGUAAUUUGAAGAAGGUAUCUUUGGUUUUGGCUCUUGUCUAUGUUCCUUGGAACAGGACGUCACAGAGGGUGAGAAUCCCGUGCGAUGAGAUGCCCAAUUCCAUGUAAAGUUCCUUCGACGAGUCGAGUUGUUUGGGAAUGCAGCUCUAAGUGGGUGGUAAAUUCCAUCUAAAGCUAAAUAUUGGCGAGAGACCGAUAGCGAACAAGUACUGUGAAGGAAAGAUGAAAAGAACUUUGAAAAGAGAGUGAAAAAGUACGUGAAAUUGUUGAAAGGGAAGGGCUUGAGAUCAGACUUGGAAUUUUCCAGUAAUGGAGCUUUCCGGGCCAGCAUCAGUUUGGAUGGCAGGAUAAUUGCGUAGGAAAGUGGCACUACUUCGGUGGUGUGUUAUAGCCUGCGUCGAUACUGCCUGUCUAGACUGAGGACUGCGUCUUUGACUAGGAUGCUGGCAUAAUGAUCUUAAGCCGC
rnacentral:rRNA from 1 species